rnacentral:lncRNA from 10 species
CUAACAUCUGGGCCUCGGACGUCUCAAAAGUGCUCUAUUGACUUUUUCUUUUAAACCAAUGUACCGAAUCCCACUCGGUUGGCAGGAGGCCACGGGCGGAUUUGGGGCGGCACAGAGCACAGCCGAGUGCCAGGGUGUACCCCGCCGCAGCAUUUUUCCAAGGCUCUGCCUGGCUGGCCCUGCUCGCAGUGGGAGCUGUGGUCCCCGCAGAACGGCGCGUCCUGGGCAGGCUGCGCGCGGGUGAUUCAUGCAUUCAUGCAUAUCUGUGGGAAGCUGGGAACCAAGCUGGUGAGCUCGGCUGCCAAGUAGGCCUUGCUGGCCCUGCUUUCCCCUGGGGCUGGGCAACCCCAGGCUCCUUCGUGACUCCUCAGAAUCUCGGACACCCCCUGAAUUCCACCCUGGUGGGCCAUUUGUGGUCUGUGCCCCAUCCAGGGCCUGAAAGAGGUGCACCAACCUCCUACAUGGAUUCCACAGAUCCUGAUUCAGACAGCGAGCACCCCGGACUAUAACGAUACCUGGGGGAAAUAGACAGAGUCUGCGCACCACCGAAUUCCAGCUGGUGGACUUCAGACCCGGGUUUGAAGCCUGGCUCUGCCACAUCCUGAUCAUGUGGACUUAGAUCACCUGAGUGAGUAAUCACAGAUGGCUGCUUGGAGGUGGCAAGAGAUGGACGGGGGGUUUCCAGUCUGUCAUCCCGGGUUCCAGCUUGUCCUGGUGGCUCCAGUUUGUCGUCACUCCCUCCCACUUCCCAUCCAUCCUUCCUUCUUGGUGGCUGCCCUGCUGACUUGAGGAUCCAGCGUCAAAUUCAAAGAAGCAGCCCCAUGUAGACUGGUGAACCAGCUCCCCAAGUUGCAUAAGCCAGUGAGGAGCUGAGGCCCUGAAUCGAAGAGCCCACACAUGACAGAAUCCUCCCAACAACCACAUGUGUGAACUUGGAAAUGGAGCCGACACCAGUUGAGCCUUCAGAUGAGAUCCUAGCCCUGGUUAAGACCUUGAUCGCAGCCUUGGAAGAGACACUGAAGGAGAGGACCCAGCUAAGCUGUGCCUGGAUUCCUGCCCCACAGAUACUGUGGUUCUUUGCAACCAUGAAACUCCUGAGCAAGGUAAUGGGACAGAGAAAUUAACUAAAGCCAAGCCCCACAAUGAACCGAUUCUGCUAUGGCUGCUGCAGGGUGAGCUCUCGUCUCUCCUUCCCAGCUGUUCCCCUCUUGGCAACAGCACACCGUCCCCCCUUGCCCCAGAAGUCACCCAUUCACCUUACGUUUGGACAUCAUUCCUGGCAUUAAGACUUCUCUCCUGGGGAGGGGUCUUCUACCGAGGUAAGCGGUUGGCAUCAGCAUCCCUCACCUAUCGACAAAAUGGAUGCGGGUGAUGGCCACCCACUGUGUGCUCUCAGAUGAACCUGAAUCGCCCCCCAGAUGGCUUCUGGGAGAGGGUAUUAACUGCAAACGUUUGCAGAGCCAUGUGCUGAAAUGUGGCAAAGUGUGUGCUUUUAAAGGAGAAGGCUCGCAGAGGAAAUGUGGAUCGUUGCCCCAUCCUGCAGUUUUGUGAAUUUGGAACGUGUUCACUAGGGUCUCUGGAAGUUCACGGUAGCCAGCAUGUCCACAAAUAAGGCCAAGCAGCCAGUUACAAUGUCCCCACCCUGCACUGUGGCUGAGAGGCCAAGCCCUGCAGCCGCACAGACCUGGGUGUGAGAACAGCUACGCUGACCGUGUAUGAGCUGCAUGACACUGGGCCGCUCAAACGCUCUGUGUUUCACUUUCCUCAUCUGUAAGUGCACAUUACAACUGGAACGACCUGAUGCACUCCUACAGAAGAAAUUAAAAUUACGUAUGGAAUGCAGGCACAUCUUGAAUGCAAUAAAUGUUCACUUUUAUUGAGGUCAGGAGGAGCAUUGACCACCAGAGGAGGAACCCAAGUGGCUGUGUGGAAAUGCUCCCAGCUGUCACACCCAGGAACCUGAGCUCUGAUGGAUACCACCUUUGCCCUCCUCUUCCAAGCCCCACAGUCCACUGGGUUGCUCUUCGUGCUCACAGACUCUGCACAUGCAUGCUGUCACCAAGUGUUUUUUUAUUUUAUUUUAUUUAUUUUUUGUUUUUUUAUUUUAUUUUAUUAUUAUUAUACUUUAAGUUUUAGGGUACAUGUGCACAAUGUGCAGGUUUGCUACAUACGUAUACAUGUGCCAUGUUGGUGUGCCGCACCCAUUAACUCGUCAUUUAGUAUUAGGUAUGUCUCCUAAUGCUAUCCCUCCCCGCUCCCCCCACCCCACAACAGUCCCUGGUGUGGGAUGUUCCCCUUCCUGUGUCCAUGUGUUCUCAUUGUUCAAUUCCCACCUAUGAGUGAGAACAUGCAGUGUUUGGUUUUUUGUCCUUGCGAUAGUUUGCUGAGAAUGAUGGUUUCCAGUUUCAUCCAUGUCCCUACAAACCAAGUGUUUACUUGGUGUUUACUGAGCACCCUCUGGGGGCUAGACACUAGGCCUCAGUAGGUGGGUGGCUUAGUAAACACUAGUGCAUGUGUUUACUGAACACCUCUGGGGACUCGACACUAUGUCAAGUGCAGCAGAGUCUAGGAGUUAAUAGCAGAGUCUGGAGAAAUCCAGCCUAGAUUUGAAUGCUAGCUCAUAACUCACUAGCUAUGGUACCUUAGGAAGAUACUGAGCCUCUCUGUGUCUCUGUUCCCUCUUUUUUCAAAUGGGGAUAGUACUUACCUCUUGGGGUGGUUUUGAGGAUUAAAUGAAUUGCUCUAUAUACAGGAGAUGGGCCAGUGCUCAGGACAUGGUGAAUCCCAUCCAAUUAUUAGUAAUUAACAUCUACUUUAAAAGUAUGCUUGACCUUCUUGAGGACUACAUGUUAAGGCAUUGAGGAUAACUUAAUUCCUUCAGAAUUGAAACAGCACUAGUUAAUAUGGAUUGAGCCCUUUUUCUAUGCCCACGUGCUUUAUAUCAGGGUUAAUACACUUUUUCUUAAAGGGCCAGGUAGUAAAGAAUCAAGGCUUUCCAGGCCAGAGGCAAAAAUGAGGCUAUUAUGUAGGUACUUAUAUAACCAUUUAAAAUGUAACCAUUUCAAAAUGAGAAGGAAGAAAACAUUCUUAGCUCAUGGGCUUUAAGAAAAACUAGUAGCUGGAUAGAUUUGGUCUGCAAGCUGGAGUCUACCUAUCUCUGCUUUAUAUCAUUCAAUCCUUACAAAAACACAAGUAGCAUUAUUAUCUCCACUUUAAGACCCGGAAGCUUUGUCUCAGAGAGGUUGAGUGACUUAUAUUGUCGUCAGUCUCUCCCUUCUGUUCCGUUAAUAUCUGCUUUAUAUAUUUAGGUGCCUUGAUGUUGGUUCUGGCAGAUGUCCACUCCUUAAUGGAUUUUUCUUGGAUGCCUGAAUGAUAGAAUUGGGACAUGAGGCAUCUAGGUGUCUGACUUCCUAAACAGCAUUUCGAUGAGAAAGAAGAGUUCCAUGAUUUGGGGGCUUGAUACAUAGAGAUAUAGAGUAGGAUAUAGAGUAGGAGUUCUCUUGAGAAUAAGGGGGAGCUCUUCAGACUACAAGACAAGCAAGGCUCCUCCAUGGCCCCUGCUGAGCUCCCUGUGAGGCCAAGAUAAUAAUUCAAUGACCAUAAUGAAUGAGCUAACUGUUGAGUGCUUUAAAAUAGCUCGAAAACACAGCCGUUUCACAUAGCCACUUCCUGCUUUAUAUCCCCUAUUCCAUUAGCUUGUGUUCCAGAAGAGGCCUGUGACAGAGCAGGAGCAUUACCAUCUUGGACAAGUCCCUCAUUCUAAAGAUCACCUUAAUAAAAAAAAUCGCCUAAAUCCAAAGGGCAUCAGCCUGAUGGCUAAGGUCAGCAUGACCGUAAACCACAAAUAACAUCUCCAACCAGAAACAUUCCAAACUCUUCCCCGACCAGAGACAUGCUAGCCCCAAGAUAAGCCCCCUCCAACUGGGAAGAUCCCAGCCUUGAGAUAUCCCCCUCUGGCUGGAAAGAUAUCUGCCCCAAGAUAACCUCUCCUCCUCCCAGAGACAUUCCAACCCCACCAUAAAACUUCUCUCACACAAAAACAUUCCAAGCUUGUAAUAAGCCCCUCACCCUAAAACCAAUAUAUACUCUUAGCCUGUAAGAGAAAGUGCUCCUGACUGAAAUCGGCCAGAAGCCCCUCUCAGGUUUUAUCUAAAGUAAACCUGUCUUUAACUGCCAAGCUAUGUUUCAUGUUUCUUUCCUCUUUAACUCUUACAGCCUGUAGCAUCACUUCUGUCCUAGAGGGAUCUUCUCAUCUUAAUUGGCUGGCAAGCCACACACAACUGACCUCACAAGGGGCCCGGAGAGCCACACAGAAUAAGCACUUGUGUGAUGCCCAUUGGCUCACCUGACACACACAGCCUUAAGGCCUUUGCACUUGUGGUUUGCUUUAUGUAGAGUAGAAGUCAGCAGACUUUUCCUACAAAGGACCAGAGAGCAUAUACUUUAGGCUUUGUUGGCCUUAUGGUCUGUUGAAACUACUUAAUUCUGCUCUCGUAAUAGGAAAGCAGCCAUAGAUAAGAUAAUGCAUAAUGGCAGGGUGUGGUGGUUCACGCCUGUAAUCCAAGCACUUUGGGAGGCCAAGAUGGGCAGAUCACCUGAGGUCAGGAGUUUGAGACCAACCUGGACAACAUGGUGAAACCCCAUCUCUACUAAAAAUACAAAAAUUAGCCAGGUGUGGUGGCUGGCGCCUGUAAUCCCAGCUACUCUGGAGGCUGAGGCAGGAGAAUCACUUGUACCUGGGAGGCAGAGGUUGCAGUGAGAAGAGAUUGCGCCACUGCACUUCAGCCUAGGCAGUAAAGCAAGACUCUGUCACCCCUCAAAAAAAAAAAAAAAAAAAAAAAAAAGAUAAUGAUGCAUAAUGAAAGUGCAUGACUGUGGUUGUGUUCCAAUAAAACUUUAUUUAUAAAAACAGGUGGUAGGGCAGAUUUGGCCUGUGGCCCUUAGUUUGUCAACUCAUGACCUAGAAUAUUCUCCCCCCAGGAAGCUGAAAGGCUCCCUCUUUCACUGCUUCCAGCCAUCUGUGUAGCUACCACCCUAUCUCAACAGCCACACCCCUGCCACCCUGUUCCUCAACCUUCCUUUACUUCCCCACAAAGUCCUUACUAUUAUGUGAAAUUACAUUAUAUAUUAAUUUAUCGGUUUAUCAUCUGGUACCCUCCUUUGGGAAUGUAAAAUCAAUGAGAGGUACCCAGAGCUUGUAGAAACGUUUGGUAUAUAGUAGACACACAAUAAAUAUUUGUGGAAUGAAUAAAUCUCAAAGAACAAUAACCAUAAAUACAAAUAAUAGCAAAUACUUUCUGCACAUGUAUUAAUAUAUUCCUGGCACUCUGAUACACAUAUGCAAAAUACUGAAUUCUUUCAAUAGCCCUAUAAUGCAGGAUCUUUUAUUAAGCCCGUUUUACAGAAGAAGCUGGGGCUUGGAGAGGUAAAUUACUUGCCCAAAUGGUGAUGUUUGCCAUCACAGGAAAACAUCACAGAACAUUAGAGCUGGCUAGGACCUUCAAGAUCAAUCUUAUUCCAACCCUGGCAUUAUACAAAUGCAGAAACUGCAAUUUGGCAAGAGGAAGCCACAUGCCAAAGGUCACAUAGCAAGAAAGGGACAAGGUAGAAUAAAGACCAGUGUCCUUGCCUUCCUGGCUGUAGGAUGCACAACCUCCAGCGCACUCUGAGUAGUGUCAGUUCCCUGCGUGAUCUGUCACUGGGGGGACUGUGACCUGCUUGUGGCCUGUGAGCAGUGGAACCAGAGCUUUCUCUCUCGUCCCAUCGGUUACUUCAGGGACGAACUGCAUGCCAGGCUUCCUCCCUGACUCAUCCAAUGCAGGUGAAGCCAGGUUAUCUCAGCACCUGCAUCCCCCAAGAGGCUGCAGAUGCAAAGCCUCUAUAAAGAAGGCAAUAAAGACUGCCAGGCAGCCAUCCUAGGAAUACUAACCAAGAUCUCUCUCCGCCCUGGUGCUGGGCGCUAUCCCCACACAUAACAGUUUGCUCUAGGGGAGGGAGAGGCUGUCUGUGUUUUAUAAGUGCUCUUAGUCACGUGUUUUUUUGUUUUUUUUUUUUUUUAUGGAAAAAAAAUCACUAGAACCAGUUUCCUCUUUCCUAAAUUAAUCCCAGUGUUUCUGUUUUCAAAGAGCAUUUAAGGACCAAAGGCCAGAGCCCUCAAAACCGGCACACACCUCCAGCUUGUGCGGGGCUGGGCAUAGUUCCAGAGGGCCUGGCUGUGCCCACGACAGAGGUUUCCUGUCCAGACAGAAGGGGACAUAUUAGUCGGCUAGGGAUGUCACAACAAAGUACCACAGAAUAUGUGGCUUAAACAAAAAGAACUUAUUAUCUUACAGUUCUAGAAGCUAGAAGUUCAAGAGCAAGGAGUCGGCAGGGCUGCUUUUUUCUUUUUUAAUUGUUAUUUAUUUAUUUAUUUAUUUAUUUGAGAUGGAGUCUCUCUCUGUCACCCAGGCUGGAGGACAGUGAUGCAAUCUCUGCUCACUGCAACCUCCGCCUCCCGGUUCAAGCAAUUCUCCUGCCACAGCCUCCCAAGUAGGCGGGAUUACAAGUGUGCGCCACCGUGCCUGGCUAAUUUAUUUAUUAUUAUUUUUUUUUUCAGUAGAGAUGGGGUUUUACCAUGUUGGCCAGGCUGGUCUUGAACUCCUGACCUCAGGUGAUCCACCCCCCGCGCCCCCCGGCCUCCCAAAGUGCUGAGAUUACAGGUGUGAGCCACCGCACCCUCCCAGGGUUGCUUUUCUGAGGCCUCUCUUCUUGGCUUGCAGGUGGCCACC